rnacentral:rRNA from 1 species
GACGAACGCUGGCGGCGUGCUUAACACAUGCAAGUCGAACGGAAAGGCCCCUUUGGGGGUCCUCGAGUGGCGAACGGGUGAGUAACACGUGAGUAACCUGCCCUUGACUUCGGGAUAACUUCAGGAAACUGGGGCUAAUACUGGAUCGGAAUCCUUGCUGCAUGGUGGGGGUUGGAAAGCUUCGGCGGUUUUGGAUGGACUCGCGGCUUAUCAGCUUGUUGGUGGGGUAGUGGCUUACAAAGGCUCUGACGGGUAGCCGGCCUGAGAGGGCGACCGGCCACAUUGGGACUGAGAUACGGCCCAGACUCCUACGGGAGGCAGCAGUGGGGAAUAUUGCACAAUGGGCGGAAGCCUGAUGCAGCAACGCCGCGUGCGGGAUGACGGCCUUCGGGUUGUAAACCGCUUUCAGCAGGGGCGAAGCUUUUGUGACGGUACCUGCAGAAGAAGCACCGGCUAACUACGUG